ACUCCUACGGGAGGCAGCAGUAGGGAAUCUUCCACAAUGGACGAAAGUCUGAUGGAGCAACGCCGCGUGAUGUGAAGAAGGGUUUCGGCUCGUAAAACUCUGUUGUAAAGAGAAGAACAUACUAGUGAGAGUAACUGUU
rnacentral:rRNA from 1 species